GGGCCCGGAUCCGGAACCGGAUGAGGCUUGCUGCCCCAGUGCCCGCAGCGCUGGGGAAAUGGCCACGGGAACAGACCAGGUGGUGGGACUCGGCCUCGUCGCCGUUAGCCUGAUCAUCUUCACCUAUUACACCGUCUGGGUGAUUCUCUUGCCAUUCAUCGACAGUCAGCAUGUCAUCCACAAGUACUUCCUGCCCCAAGCCUAUGCCGUUGCCAUCCCACUAGCUGCCGGCCUCCUGCUGCUCCUGUUUGUGGGCGUGUUCAUCACCUACAUGAUGCUGAAGAAUCAGAAGGUGACCAAAAAGGCUCAGUGAAGGCCCAGCAGGGAUGAGGCUGCCGGCCCCUUCUCUGCUUCUUCUCCAGGGCAGACCAAGGGUGGGGGCCCAGAGGACCCAUCCAGGCGCUGAGGGCCCCUCAAGCCUGGCUACCCUGCAGACACCCUCGUGGGAUGGAGCUGUUCAGGACUCACCCCUGACUGACCAGAGGCCCUGCUCACCCUUCCAGAAGCCAGGAGGGAGGAGUCCCUGGAAGUCUCCCUCUCACCCUCUUCAGGUUCAGGGCCUGGAAAAUGCUGGUCCUCCCCACCUCACUUUUCAGGCUCCCUGUCGCUUUUUCCUCUGGCUUCUACACUCUUGCCUCAGUUUCCCUCAUGUCACAUGCUGUUGCUGGACUUGGCAGGUUCUGGGGCAUCACGUGACCUCUCCCCCCAUGUCCUGCUCCUCUACAAAGGCAGCUUUCCCAGGUCUGACAUACCCCAGACCCCACAAGGACUUCUGGACCUGGAAAGCCUAGGGGGAGGCCUGACAGGCCCCAGAGCACAUUAGGGACCCCUGGAUUGACCGCUUCUCAUGGAGGCCCAGCCCCCCAGCCUCAGUGCUGGCCUGUUGGGGAGAGCUGAACAAUAAACGUUGAUGGUGUGUUUGUC
rnacentral:lncRNA from 1 species